rnacentral:misc_RNA from 1 species
GAUGAAGAACGCAGCGAAAUGCGAUACGUAAUGUGAAUUGCAAAUUCAGUGAAUCAUCGAGUCUUUGAACGCACAUUGCGCCCCCUGGUAUUCCGGGGGGCAUGCCUGUCCGAGCGUCAUUGCUGCCCUCAAGCACGGCUUGUGUGUUGGGCCCCGUCCUCCGAUCCCGGGGGACGGGCCCGAAAGGCAGCGGCGGCACCGCGUCCGGUCCUUGAGCGUAUGGGGCUUUGUCACCCGCUCUGUAGGCCCGGCCGGCGCCAGCCGACACCCAACUUUAUUUCUAAGGUUGACCUCGGAUCAGGUAGGGAUACCCGCUGAACUUAAGCAUAUCAAUAAGCGGAGGA